GACGAACGCUGGCGGCGCGCUUAACACAUGCAAGUCGUGCGGUGUCGAAGGCAAGUCUUACGACAAGCCUUCGACACAGCGGCGAACGGGUGAGUAACACGUGAGUAGCUGUCCUAAGGAGGGGGAUAACGCCUGGAAACGGGGUGCUAAUGCCCCAUAUGCCUCGCAAGAGGUGAAAGUGUACUUGUUACAGCCUUAGGGUGUGCUCGCGGCCUAUCAGCUAGUUGGUGAGGUAACGGCUCACCAAGGCUAAGACGGGUAGCCGGCCUGAGAGGGUGGCCCCCCACAAUGGAACUGAAACACGGUCCAUACACCUACGGGUGGCAGCAGUAGGGAAUAUUAGAAAUGGACGAAAGUCUGAUCUAGCAACACCGCGUGUGCGAAGAAGGCCUUCGGGUUGUAAAGCACUUUUUGGAAGGAUUAGGAAGGAAUGUACUUCCAGAAUAAGUCUCGGCUAACUACGUG
rnacentral:rRNA from 1 species